UCUCAAGAAUGAUAGAGAAAGAGAUUACGCAAUGCGCAUGUUUGUUUUCAGUCAGCCGUUCUUGCUGACGUCACGGUUGACUUAUUAUUCGCCCGCGCCUUUGAAUGUGAAUUCGAAUUGUAUUUUCGCGUGUAGUAUUAAUUGUGAAAUUUUAUAAUAUAUUUUUUAAAAUGAUUUGCGCAGUGUUCGGAUGCAAUAAUAACAAUGUUAAAAAUAGUGCUACGAAAUGGAGAUUUUUCCAUUUUCCUAAGGAUAAAACAGUACUAAAGCAGUGGAUUCAUUUUUGUACACUUCGCGCCAGAAGCCUUCGAAAGAAAUUUGCAGUUUGAAAUGGAUAUAAGUUCGCGGAGUCUAACGAAGUUACUACCUAGCGCUUUUCUCACGUUAACCAGAUUAACUCCUGCAUAGGCUAUUGAACGGCGGAAAAGGAAUUACUUUUCUCUAACCGUUGAUCUAAAUUCCAUUGACCCAAUUGAAAAAAAUGAUGACUUGGAGAUUCUCAACAACGACGGACUUGAGAAUUUGGCAGGGUACAUCUGCCACAAAUUUGGUAAAGACAACUCCGAAAUUUGUGCCAAUUCAGAAAAUUGUUCGUCUUAUACUUGGGUGGAUCACCUAUCUGAAGGAGUGGUACUGAUUUGCAUAUAUGUACAAAGAACGUCCAGAAGCACUUAGAUUUAAGUAAUUUUGUAAAUUGUAGCACCAAAGUAAAAUAAUUGUUUUUCAGAGCUAGAAUGUAUUUUAGGAUUCGUUCCUUAAAUAAAAACUUAAUUGCAAAUAUGUACAGCAAAAAAAGAAAACUAAAUAAGACAAUAAAUUCAUAGUUGGUCACAAAAUA